AUUGAACGCUGGCGGCAUGCUUUACACAUGCCAGUCGAACGGCAGCGCGGGCUUCGGCCUGGCGGCGAGUGGCGAACGGGUGAGUAAUGCAUCGGAACGUGCCCAGUAGUGGGGGAUAGCCCGGCGAAAGCCGGAUUAAUACCGCAUACGACCUGAGGGUGAAAGCGGGGGACCGAAAGGCCUCGCGCUAUUGGAGCGGCCGAUGUCGGAUUAGCUAGUUGGUGGGGUAAAGGCUUACCAAGGCGACGAUCCGUAGCUGGUCUGAGAGGACGACCAGCCACACUGGGACUGAGACACGGCCCAGACUCCUACGGGAGGCAGCAGUGGGGAAUUUUGGACAAUGGGGGCAACCCUGAUCCAGCCAUGCCGCGUGCGGGAAGAAGGCCUUCGGGUUGUAAACCGCUUUUGUUCGGGAAGAAAUCCUCUGGGCUAAUACCCCGGGGGGAUGACGGUACCGGAAGAAUGAGCACCGGCUAACUACGUG
rnacentral:rRNA from 1 species